AUUUUGAUUUAAAACUGAACUUCGCGGUCGCCCGGAAACUAAAGUAAGCAACGACCACCGCUGAGUCAGCAGCAGCUUUCAACGUUAACAUCAAAACAACAUUGGUCCAUUUGCGUCCAAUCGACAAGAUAAUUCAAUGAAAACAUCUUAUGAGGGUUCAACAACGAACAUCUACGAGAAUCCCAACACGGGGCGUCAGAGUUUAUUAUAGAACAAAGGUUCCCAUAAAAUGAAUAAUUAUGUGGAAAAAUAGUAAGUAAGUUACCGACGAGCCCAUGUCACAAAGCUCGCGGCUAGCUCCCACGGUGGAGUACAUCCUUGACAAAAUCAACUCUAAUAUAAUUGUCAGCGCCAAGAGGUCAUUAGGUUCUGAAGGUGACGCAGUUACCGCUGGUACUCCUAUAGUCGCGGUACAUACACAAGUAUACAAGAGGAAGUGCAGCAGAGAGCGAUACAGACCACAGUCUUUACCUCCUUGGUGGAGAUGUUGUGCAUGAGCGCCGUGCCCACCGCGCGCAGCGCCGCGUCCUCGCUCAGCACCGCGUGCACGCACACCUGCGGACGCGCCCGCACUUACACGCACAUAUUCUACACGCAAUGGACUCAUAUACGGGUAACCCUCCUAUAACGCUGUGUGGAACCGUGUUACAUGAGACUUGAGGUCAGUACAAAAAGGAAAGUAAUGUUUGUAAAUGAAAUUAAAAAAUUAUAUUAUACAUCAAAAAUAAGCAGUACGAAUUCGAUUAUUCUCUUAUGUUGUGUGUUCAUUGUGUAAAAUGUAGUUUUUUAAAUAAUUUUAAACAAAAAUCUCGUUAUCGUGUUGUAGAAGUACCGUGUUAUGAGACGGUUUUGGAGAUAUAUACGGUAUAUUUUUUUAUGUAAAAAUAGAAUCAUGUUGUAAAAUAUCGUGUUAUAGGAGAGUUACUGUAUUGCAAUGACAUUGAAUGUAAUAAUAUGUAUUGAAAUAUAAUAAUGUUACAGUAAA